UGGGGAAUUUUGGACAAUGGGGGAACCCUGAUCCAGCCAUCCCGCGUGUGCGAUGAAGGCCUUCGGGUUGUAAAGCACUUUUGGCAGGAAAGAAACGUCGCGGGUUAAUACCCCGCGAAACUGACGGUACCUGCAGAAUAAGCACCGGCUAACUACGUGCCAGCAGCCGCGGUAAUACGUAGGGUGCAAGCGUUAAUCGGAAUUACUGGGCGUAAAGCGUGCGCAGGCGGUUCGGAAAGAAAGAUGUGAAAUCCCAGAGCUUAACUUUGGAACUGCAUUUUUAACUACCGGGCUAGAGUGUGUCAGAGGGAGGUGGAAUUCCGCGUGUAGCAGUGAAAUGCGUAGAUAUGCGGAGGAACACCGAUGGCGAAGGCAGCCUCCUGGGAUAACACUGACGCUCAUGCACGAAAGCGUGGGGAGCAAACAGGAUUAGAUACCCUGGUAGUCCACGCCCUAAACGAUGUCAACUAGCUGUUGGGGCCUUCGGGCCUUGGUAGCGCAGCUAACGCGUGAAGUUGACCGCCUGGGGAGUACGGUCGCAAGAUU
rnacentral:rRNA from 1 species